rnacentral:rRNA from 1 species
CCUACGGGUGGCAGCAGUGGGGAAUAUUGCACAAUGGGGGAAACCCUGAUGCAGCGACGCCGCGUGAAGGAAGGAGUAUUUCGGUAUGUAAACUUCUAUCAGCAGGGGAGAAAAUGACGGUACCUGACUAAGAAGCCCCGGCUAACUACGGGCCAGCAGCCGCGGUAAUACGUAGGGGGCAAGCGUUAUCCGGAUUUACUGGGUGUAAAGGGAGCGUAGGCAGUUUAGCAAGUCAGAAGUGAAAGCCCGGGGCUCAACUCCGGGACUGCUUUUGAAACUGUUGAACUAGAUUGCAGGAGAGGUAAGUGGAAUUCCUAGUGUAGCGGUGAAAUGCGUAGAUAUUAGGAGGAACACCAGUGGCGAAGGCGGCUCUCUGGUCUGCAACUGACGCUGAGGCUCGAAAGCAUGGGUAGCGAACAGGAUUAGAUACCCGGGUAGUC